rnacentral:tRNA from 1 species
GGUCCUAUAACUCAACUGGAUUAGAGUACGAAUCUUCUAAAUUCGAUGUUAUGCGUUCGAGCCGCAUUAGGACCA